CUCUUUGUUCCCCUCCAUAUAAUAGUUUUUUCAUUUACUUAUGCCUGUUCCUAAUGUAUUUAGUCAGUUCUUCAAUCAAGUUUGUUUUACUUUAGAUUUUACAAUCUUAUUACGUAUGCAAAGCAAACAAAAUUGAAAGGUGGAUUGAAGAAUUGUUUGUGUUAGGACUUAAGCAUAAGAGGAGAGUCGAACCCAAAAAGACUAGUUCUAGGUGGGAGAACUUCAAGGCUUAAGUACCACAUUAAGUAGUUUAUCUUACUCAAUGUGAGACUCCUAACAUUACCAAUCCCUUUAAGGGCCGACAUCCAUGGCAGCUUCACUCUAUUGACAUUGACCCACCGGAUUUAAGCACAAGAGGAGAAUCCAACGCAAAAGACUAGUCCACUAGGUGGAUAGGAGAACAUCAAGGCUCAGGUACCACAUCAAGUGGUUUAUCCAUUUAUCCAAUGAGAAAGCAGGGCUUACUUCAGAAUUGAGAUUGUUCACCUGUUCGUAAUUUAAACAAAGGCAUAAGGGAGAAGGUGGCUCACACUUGUUACCUUAGGAAAGCUUCUGUUUUAAUUCCAUAACAAUGUUAAAUUCGAUCUGGCUGGUCACAUUAUUUUCUUUUUGUUUUUGUUGCGAUGCAAAUGAACUAGUCAUUUGGCUUGUACUUUAGUUCGCUGAUGUCUGAAAACCUUGCUCACAUUGGUUAUUGGAUUACAUCGAUAAGGUUAUAGGAGAUUAUCAUUGAAAUAUUUAAACUGAAGAUUCUUUUGGGUCUAAUUGCAUUUCUUCUUUACAUGACAUUAGUAUAAUAUGGAUGAUUGGAUGCAUGUAUCGUAUCUUUAGUUCAUAGAAGGGUUCUGAGAGAUUUUUUGUUACCUGAUAGAAACUGGUAGUAUAUAGAUCAAAUUCUAGGAGUACAACUCCUUUACAGUAGAGCAUUAUACCCAAGCUCUGAAAAAAAAAAAUAAUAAAAGAA